GGUGAACGCUGGCGGCGUGCCUAAUACAUGCAAGUCGAGCGCAGGAAACUGACGGAACUCUUCGGAGGGAAGGCAGUGGAAUGAGCGGCGGACGGGUGAGUAACACGUAAGGAACCUGCCUCAAGGAUUGGGAUAACUCCGAGAAAUCGGAGCUAAUACCGGAUAGUUCAUCGGACCGCAUGGUCCGCUGAUGAAAAGCGCUCCGGCGUCACCUUGAGAUGGCCUUGCGGUGCAUUAGCUAGUUGGUGGGGUAACGGCCCACCAAGGCGACGAUGCAGAGCCGACCUGAGGGGGUGAUCGGCCAGACUGGGACUGAGACACGGCCCAGACUCCUACGGGGGGCAUCGGUAGGUAAUCUUCCACAAUGGACGAAAGUCUGAUGGAGCAACGCCGGGUGAGUGAUGAAGGUUUUCGGAUCGUAAAACUCUGUUGUAAGGGAAGAACACGUACGAGAGGGAAUGCUCGUACCUUGACGGUACCUUACGAGAAAGCCACGGCUAACUACGUGCCAGCCGCCGCCGUAA
rnacentral:rRNA from 1 species